rnacentral:tRNA from 1 species
UCUAAUGUGGCAGAAUAGUGCAAAGGAUUUAAGAUCCUUAUAUAAAGUCCAUGCUUUUUUUAGAA